rnacentral:rRNA from 1 species
CAGUAGCCGCGGUAAUACGAAGGGUGCAAGCGUUAAUCGGAAUUACUGGGCGUAAAGCGUGCGUAGGCGGUGAGUUAAGUCUGCUGUGAAAUCCCCGGGCUCAACCUGGGAAUGGCAGUGGAUACUGGCUCGCUAGAGUGUGUCAGAGGAUGGUGGAAUUCCCGGUGUAGCGGUGAAAUGCGUAGAGAUCGGGAGGAACAUCAGUGGCGAAGGCGGCCAUCUGGGACAACACUGACGCUGAGGCACGAAAGCGUGGGGAGCAAACAGGAUUAGAUCCCCUGUAGUCCCUGUCUCUUAUACA